UUGUGCCUACGGGAGGCAGCAGUAGGGAAUCUUCGGCAAUGGACGAAAGUCUGACCGAGCAACGCCGCGUGAGUGAAGAAGGUUUUCGGAUCGUAAAACUCUGUUGGUAGAGAAGAACGUUGGUGAGAGUGGAAAGCUCAUCAAGUGACGGUAACUACCCAGAAAGGGACGGCUAACUACGUGCCAGCAGCCGCGGUAAUACGUAGGUCCCGAGCGUUAUCCGGAUUUACUGGGUGUAAAGGGAGCGCAGGCGGCACGGCAAGCCUG
rnacentral:rRNA from 1 species